GCUCAAUGAAAUUUAAAUAGCCGCUUUUGUGCUAAGGUAGCAUAAUAAUUUGUCUUUUAAUUAAAGACUAGAACAAAAGACUUAACAUCUCAAUUAAUAUUUUAUAAAAAUUUAUUUAAAUUAUUUUAAUUGUAAAAAAACAAUUUUAAAAAAGAAAGACGAUAAGACCCUAUCGAACUUCACUUUAGUUUAACUGGGGCAGUUAAUUAAUUAACAUUUUAAUACAAUUAAAUACUUAAUUUUGACCUAAUAUAAUUAAUAAAAUAAUUAAGUUACCGUAGGGAUAACAGCGUAAUAAAAUUUUUAAGAUCUUAUUUAAAAUAAAGAUUGCGACCUCGAUGUUGAUUUAAUAUCCUAAUUUACGCAAUAGUUAAUUAAGGAAGUCUGUUCGACUUUUAAAAAAUUACAUGAUUUGAAUUCAGACCGGUGUAAACCAGGUCGGUUUCUAUCUUCUAAACAAAUUCUUCUAGUACGAAAGGACCUAAGAAAAUAAUAAUAUU
rnacentral:rRNA from 1 species